UGUACUCAUAACCUUUGGUUCUCACUUUCAAGUCUCAAGACUCCUGAUCAUCGAAGCGGAGAAACUCAGUCACCCGAAACCCUUCACAAGGCGGCGCUUCCCUUGUCAUGGAAGGAGUGCGAAAUCGAGUUUGAAGAAUGUCCCUCGGUCUUACAGUAUAUGAGAUUUGGAAGGAAAGGAACCAAUGGAGAUUCCAUAAAUGUUUUCAGACUUGUCAUUAGAUUUUGCGAACUAUUCAGAUCAGCGCUCAUAUCAGAAUUUUACAGAAGGAAAAACUGCAGACUUUCUAUACUCGUUAAUAUUUUAUGUAAUGUUAGUGCUGCUGGUGUGCUUGUUACUGUGUGCAGUUUGGUUUCUCUUCUAGUGUGUGCCUCUGUUCUGCUAGCUACUGGUGUCUGCAGGGUACUGCUUUGGGGGGAGGCCUGUUGGCUUGCUGAUGUUGUCUAUGCAGGCUGCAGAUCUGUUGUACAGCUGCUUGUUUCUGCUAGGUUCAGGAUGUGAUGCCUUUUUUUGUAGUGUUUCUGGUGUUUCUUUGUUUGGUACUGCUUGUAUUCUCUAGCUUGUGAAUUGUGUAUGACGUAAGCCUGCCGACAAGUUGGCCAACGGAUUCAUUGGAUGUUGUACGUGGCAACUUUUCAAGAUCAUGGGACAUCCUUGAUGUAUUUCUGAUUUCCAAGUUAUAACAAAGAGCAGAUUGACGAAGUAAGAACUCAAUGGGUGCGCCAUGUUGUUUAACAACUGUAUAUUAGCUCGGUUACGUUGAAGGAACCAAUAAUUGUACAACUCUAUUAAUUAAUGUAUGUUGCGUAGCUUAAUGUUUGUGUUCUUAUUUUAGAACAUCCAUAUGUAAUUGAUUUUAUUAGGUUGACAAUUGAAAAUUCUUUAUAUUGAGGCUUGAAAAUUAAUAUACGAUUAUUUAU